GAUGAACGCUGGCGGCGUGCCUAAUACAUGCAAGUCGAGCGAACGGACGAGAAGCUUGCUUCUCUGAUGUUAGCGGCGGACGGGUGAGUAACACGUGGAUAACCUACCUAUAAGACUGGGAUAACUUCGGGAAACCGGAGCUAAUACCGGAGAAUAUUUUGAACCGCAUGGUUCAAAAGUGAAAGACGGUCUUGCUGUCACUUAUAGAUGGAUCCGCGCUGCAUUAGCUAGUUGGUAAGGUAACGGCUUACCAAGGCAACGAUGCAUAGCCGACGUGAGAGGGUGAUAGGCGGCACUGGAAGUGAGACACGGUCCAGACUACUACGGGAGGCAGCAGAAGGCAAUCUUCCGCAAUGGGCGAAAGCCUGACGGAGCAGCGCCGCGUGAGAGGUGACGGUCUUCGGAUCGUGAAACUCUGUUAUUAGGGAAGAACAUAUGUGUCAGUAACUGUGCACAGCGUGACGGUACCUAAUCAGGAAGCCCCGGCUAACUACGUG
rnacentral:rRNA from 1 species